rnacentral:rRNA from 1 species
GAGUUUGAUCCUGGCUCAGGACGAACGCUGGCGGCACGCCUAACACAUGCAAGUCGAACGGAGAUAUUUUGGUUUACUGAGAUAUCUUAGUGGCGGACGGGUGAGUAACACGUGAGCAACCUGCCUCUGAGAGAGGGAUAGCUUCUGGAAACGGAUGGUAAUACCUCAUAACAUAACGAAGCCGCAUGACUUUGUUAUCAAAGAUUUAUCACUCAGAGAUGGGCUCGCGUCUGAUUAGAUAGUUGGUGAGGUAACGGCUCACCAAGUCGACGAUCAGUAGCCGGACUGAGAGGUUGAACGGCCACAUUGGGACUGAGACACGGCCCAGACUCCUACGGGAGGCAGCAGUGGGGAAUAUUGCACAAUGGGGGAAACCCUGAUGCAGCGAUGCCGCGUGGAGGAAGAAGGUUUUCGGAUUGUAAACUCCUGUCUUAAAGGACGAUAAUGACGGUACUUUAGGAGGAAGCUCCGGCUAACUACGUGCCAGCAGCCGCGGUAAUACGUAGGGAGCGAGCGUUGUCCGGAAUUACUGGGUGUAAAGGGAGCGUAGGCGGGAUGGCAAGUCAGAUGUGAAAACUAUGGGCUCAACCCAUAGACUGCAUUUGAAACUGUUGCUCUUGAGUGAAGUAGAGGUAAGCGGAAUUCCUGGUGUAGCGGUGAAAUGCGUAGAUAUCAGGAGGAACAUCGGUGGCGAAGGCGGCUUACUGGGCUUUUACUGACGCUGAGGCUCGAAAGCGUGGGGAGCAACCAGGAUUAGAUACCCAGGUAGUCCACGCUGUAAACGAUGAUUACUAGGUGUGGGGGGACUGACCCUUCCGUGCCGCAGUUGACACAAUAAGUAAUCCACCUGGGGAGUACGGCCGCAGGUUGAAACUMAAGGAAUUGACGGGGCCCGCACAGCAGUGAGUAUGUGGUUUAUUCGAAGCACGCGAGAACUUACCAGGUCUUGACAUCGUAUGCAUACCWWGARAWUGGAAAUCCCUUCGGAAMUWUAGACAGKUGGUGCWGGUAUGCGAAUUCRCAACUGGCGGCGUUACUAUGGAUCURAAUYMGKACCAGACU